rnacentral:rRNA from 1 species
UUGACCUCAAAUCAGGUAGGAAUACCCGCUGAACUUAAGCAUAUCAA